rnacentral:rRNA from 1 species
AUCAUGCGCGUGUGNAAGAAGGCUUCGGGUUGUAAAGCACUUUUGUCAGGAACGAAACAGUGGGGGCUAAUACCUCCUGCUAAUGACGGUACCUGAAGAAUAAGCACCGGCUAACUACGUGCCAGCAGCCGCGGUAAUACGUAGGGUGCGAGCGUUAAUCGGAAUUACUGGGCGUAAAGCGUGCGCAGGCGGUUGUGCANAGACAGAUGUGGGGG